rnacentral:rRNA from 1 species
GAGUUUGAUCGUGGCUCAGAUUGAACGCUGGCGGCAGGCCUAACACAUGCAAGUCGAGCGGUAGAGAGAAGCUUGCUUCUCUUGAGAGCGGCGGACGGGUGAGUAAUGCCUAGGAAUCUGCCUGGUAGUGGGGGAUAACGCUCGGAAACGGACGCUAAUACCGCAUACGUCCUACGGGAGAAAGCAGGGGACCUUCGGGCCUUGCGCUAUCAGAUGAGCCUAGGUCGGAUUAGCUAGUUGGUGAGGUAAUGGCUCACCAAGGCGACGAUCCGUAACUGGUCUGAGAGGAUGAUCAGUCACACUGGAACUGAGACACGGUCCAGACUCCUACGGGAGGCAGCAGUGGGGAAUAUUGGACAAUGGGCGAAAGCCUGAUCCAGCCAUGCCGCGUGUGUGAAGAAGGUCUUCGGAUUGUAAAGCACUUUAAGUUGGGAGGAAGGGCAGUAAAUUAAUACUUUAGCUGUUUUGACGUUACGACAGAAUAAGCACCGGCUAACUCUGUGCC